GACGAACCGUGCGAACGUUAUUCGGAAUCACUGGGCUUAAAGGGCGCGUAGGCGGGUCAUCAAGUCCGGGGUGAAAUCCCACGGCCCAACCGUGGAAGUGCCUUGGAUACUGGAGACCUCGAGGGGGAUAGGGGCGUGCGGAACUCAGGGUGGAGCGGUGAAAUGCGUAGAUAUCCUGAGGAACACCGGUGGCGAAAGCGGCGCGCUGGAUCCCUUCUGACGCUGAGGCGCGAAAGCCAGGGGAGCAAAGCGGG
rnacentral:rRNA from 1 species